AUUGAACGCUGGCGGCAUGCUUUACACAUGCAAGUCGAACGGUAACAGGCCUUCGGGCGCUGACGAGUGACGAACGGUUGAGUAAUGCAUCGGAACGUGCCCAGUCGUGGGGGAUAACGCAGCGAAAGCUGUGCUAAUACCGCAUACGAUCUGCGGAUGAAAGCGGGGGACCUUCGGGCCUCGCGCGAUUGGAGCGGCCGAUGUCAGAUUAGGUAGUUGGUGGGGUAAAGGCUCGCCAAGCCAACGAUCUGUAGCUGGUCUGAGAGGACGACCAGCCACACUGGGACUGAGACACGGCCCAGACUCCUACGGGAGGCAGCAGUGGGGAAUUUUGGACAAUGGACGCAAGUCUGAUCCAGCCAUGCCGCGUGCGGGAAGAAGGCCUUCGGGUUGUAAACCGCUUUUGUCAGGGAAGAAACGCUCUGGGUUAAUACCUCGGGGUAAUGACGGUACCUGAAGAAUAAGCACCGGCUAACUACGUGCCAGCCGCCGCAGUAAGAC
rnacentral:rRNA from 1 species